AGAAUCAACGCUGGCGGCGUGCCUAACACAUGCAAGUCGAACGCGAAAGUCCCGCAAGGGAUGAGUAGAGUGGCAAACGGGUGAGUAACACGUGGGUGACCUGCCUUCGAGCGGGGGAUAACGUCCCGAAAGGGACGCUAAUACCGCAUGAUAUCCCGCCUUUGAAGAGGUGGAGAUCAAAGCUGGGGAUCGCAAGACCUAGCACUUGAAGAGGGGCCCGCGUCUGAUUAGCUAGUUGGUGGGUAACGCUCACCAAGGCAACGAUC
rnacentral:rRNA from 1 species